rnacentral:rRNA from 1 species
GGUGACUCUGGAUAACUUCACGCUGAUCGCACGGUCUUCGCACCGGCGACGAUUCUUUCAAAUGUCUGCCUUAUCAACUGUCGAUGGUAGGUUAUGCGCCUACCAUGGUUGCAACGGGUAACGGGGAAUCGGGGUUCGAUUCCGGAGAGGGAGCCUGAGAAACGGCUACCACAUCCAAGGAAGGCAGCAGGCGCGCAAAUUACCCACUCCCGGCACGGGGAGGUAGUGACGAAAAAUAACGAUACGGGACUCUUCCGAGGCCCCGUGAUUGGAAUGAGUACACUUUAAAUCCUUUAACGAGGACCCAUUGGAGGGCAAGUCUGGUGCCAGCAGCCGCGGUAACUCCAGCUCCAAUAGCGUAUAUUAAAGUUGUUGCGGUUAAAAAGCUCGUAGUCGGAGUUCUGUCUUCGGCCGAGGGGGAAUUCUGCCUACACGGUAUGAGUCUCGUUCCCUUAGGGUGUGCGGUGUCAAAGCCGUGCACUCUUAACGGUCGGACAAGUCCGUCGGAGUGUGGUUAUUGUUGGAAGGGCAACCGACCAAUGAGGCCACCGUAAUCGUUCGGGGUGCCUUUAAUCGGGUGUCUCGGGCGGCCGACAUAGUUUACUUUGAACAAAUUAGAGUGCUCAAAGCGGGUGACUACCGCCUGAAUAGUACAGCAUGGAAUGAUGAAAGAGGACCUCGGUCUGAUUUUGCUGGUCUUUAACGGUCGGGCUUCGGCCCGGCCUAUGCAGACCCGAGGUAAUGGUCAAUAGAGACGGACGGGGGCAUCCGUACUGCGGCGACAGAGGUGAAAUUCUUGGACCGCCGCAAGACGAACGACAGCGAAGGCAUUUGCCAAGAAUGUUUUCCUUGAUCUAGAACGAAAGUUAGAGGUUCGAAGGCGAUCAGAUACCGCCCUAGUUCUAACCAUAAACGAUGCCAACUAGCGAUCCGCCGGUGUUACUCCCAUGACUCGGCGGGCAGCUUCCGGGAAACCAAAGUCCUUGGGUUCCGGGGGAAGUAUGGUUGCAAAGCUGAAACUUAAAGGAAUUGACGGAAGGGCACCACCAGGAGUGGAGCCUGCGGCUUAAUUUGACCCAACACGGGAAACCUCACCAGGCCCGGACACUGGAAGGAUUGACAGAUAGAGAGCUCUUUCUUGAUUCGGUGGGUGGUGGUGCAUGGCCGUUCUUAGUUGGUGGAGCGAUUUGUCUGGUUAAUUCCGAUAACGAACGAGACUCUAGCCUGCUAAAUAGGUGCCGGGUUUUUACAUCUCCUCGCAAGGGGAGAGUGGAGUGUGUGGUUGUCGGGAUCCUGGGCUGUGGUGGUCGUUUAGGCUGCGGGGGGCAACUCUCGUGGUCUGGGCGGCUGUCAUAGUUCACCCGGUGUACGCACACUUCGCGUCCGGCAUUUUUCUUCUUAGAGGGACAAGCGGCGUCCAGCCGCGUGACAGUGAGCAAUAACAGGUCUGUGAUGCCCUUAGAUGUCCUGGGCCGCACGCGCGCUACACUGAAGGAAUCAGCGUGUUAUUCAUCCCUGUCUGAAAAGACCGGGCAACCGCUGAACCUCCUUCGUGGUUGGGAUUGGGGACUGCAAUGAUCCCCAUGAACCAGGAAUCCCUAGUAGGCGCGGGUCACUAGCCCGCGUCGAUUACGUCCCUGCCCUUUGUACACACCGCCCGUCGCUACUACCGAUUGAAUGAUUUAGUGAGAACUUCAGACGGCUAUGUUUGUCCGGGGCAACCCGCGUCGAGCAGGGCUGAAAGAUGUUCAAACUUGAUCCUUUAGAGGAAGUAAAAGUCGUAACAAGGUU